GAUGAACGCUGGCGGCGUGCCUAAUACAUGCAAGUCGAGCGAACAGACGAGGAGCUUGCUCCUCUGACGUUAGCGGCGGACGGGUGAGUAACACGUGGAUAACCUACCUAUAAGACUGGGAUAACUUCGGGAAACCGGAGCUAAUACCGGAUAAUAUAUUGAACCGCAUGGUUCAAUAGUGAAAGACGGUUUUGCUGUCACUUUUAGAUGGAUCCGCGCCGCAUUAGCUAGUUGGUAAGGUAACGGCUUACCAAGGCGACGAUGCGUAGCUGACCUGAGAGGGUGAUCGGCCACACUGGAACUGAGACACGGUCCAGACUCCUACGGGAGGCAGCAGUAGGGAAUCUUCCGCAAUGGGCGAAAGCUUGACGGAGCAACACCGCGUGAGUGAUGAAGGUCUUCGGAUCGUAAAACUCUGUUAUUGGGAAAGAACAAAUGUGUAAGUAACUAUGCACGUCUUGACGGUACCUAAUCAGAAAGCCACGGCUAACUACGUG
rnacentral:rRNA from 1 species